AAGGAAUUGUAGUUGCCAAGCUUGAGGGUUCCUUUGCAGUGAUGACACCGGAAGCAGGCCUUAUGGUAGACACGGUUGUCGGCUGUUAACUUAUCCACAAGAUAGACAGUCUUUUCACAUGCCAUGCACUUCUGGGUUGUUCCUGCAAAUGCCAUGGCUUCAAAAUUCUCACCUUAGAAACUGCAACUAUAAUCUAUAUAUCCUUCCUUCGUUUUGUU
rnacentral:misc_RNA from 1 species